UAGACCGCCUGGGGAGUACGGCCGCAAGGUUAAAACUCAAAUGAAUUGACGGGGGCCCGCACAAGCGGUGGAGCAUGUGGUUUAAUUCGAUGCAACGCGAAGAACCUUACCUGGUCUUGACAUCCACAGAAGUUUCCAGAGAUGGAUUUGUGCCUUCGGGAACCGUGAGACAGGUGCUGCAUGGCUGUCGUCAGCUCGUGUUGUGAAAUGUUGGGUUAAGUCCCGCAACGAGCGCAACCCUUAUCCUUUGUUGCCAGCGAUUAGGUCGGGAACUCAAAGGAGACUGCCAGUGAUAAACUGGAGGAAGGUGGGGAUGACGUCAAGUCAUCAUGGCCCUUACGACCAGGGCUACACACGUGCUACAAUGGCGCAUACAAAGAGAAGCGACCUCGC
rnacentral:rRNA from 1 species